rnacentral:ncRNA from 3 species
AGCCAAGGGAACGGGCUU